GUUCUGGUGCCAGCAGCCGCGGUAAUUCCAGCUCCAAUAGCGUAUAUUAAAGUUGUUGCAGUUAAAAAGCUCGUAGUCGAUCUUCUAAGAGCAGUACUGGGGAUUUCCCUUCCUAGUACUCGCUCUUAUCUGACCGAAACCUUCUUUCGUGCUUCACUGUUACGAUGGAGUAAAUCGGUCACUUUACUGAGAAAAAAUUAGAGUGUUCAAAGCAGGCACUGUGCCUUGAAUACACAAGCUUGGAAUAAUAGAAUACGACUAAAGUCUUUUUGUUGGUUUAGAGGCUUUGGUAAUGGUUAAUAGAAACAGUUGGGGGCAUUAGUAUCUAAUUGUCAGAGGUGAAAUUCUUGGAUUUAUUAGAGACUAACCUAUGCGAAAGCAUUUGCCAAGGAUGUUUUCAAUUGAUCAAGAACGAAAGUUAGGGGAUCAAAGACGAUCAGAUACCGUCCUAGUCUUAACUAUAAACGAUUCCGACUAUGGAUUGGGAGGAGUCUUGUUAACUCUCUCAGCACAUUAUGAGAAAUCAUAAGUCUUUGGGCUCCGGGGGAAGUAUGGACACAAGUCUGAAACUUAAAGGAAUUGACGGAAAGGCACACAAGGAGUGGAGCCUGCGGCUUAAUUUGACCCAACACGGGGAAACUUACCAGGGCAAGACAUGGGUGGGAUUGACAGAAAUGAGAGCUCUUUCUUGAUUCUAUGGGUGGUGGUGCAUGGCCGUUCUUAGUUGGUGGAGUGAUUUGUCUGGUUAAUUCCGUUAACGAACGAGACCUUAACCUGCUAAAUAGGAGCCCGAUUCUUAAUCGAGUAUCCUUCUUAGAGGGACUAUGUGCGCAAGCACAUGGAAGUUUAAGGCAAUAACAGGUCUGUGAUGCCCCUAGACGUCCUGGGCCGCACGUGCGCUACAAUGAUACAAGCAACGAGUAUUUCCUGCUCCGACAGGAGUCGGGUAAUCUUUAUAGUUUGUAUCGUGCUUGGGAUUGUCCUUUGUAAUUAUAGGACAUGAACUAGGAAUUCCUGGUAUAGGCAUGUCAUCAGCAUGCCUAGAUUAAGUCCCUGCCUUUUGUACACACCGCCCGUCGCUCCUACUAAUUGAGAGAUUAAGUGAACCUUCUGGAGUUUGAGAUGACUCUUAGUCUUCUCUGCGAAGUUAAGUAAACUAUUAUCUCUUAGAAGAAGGAGAAGUCGUAACAAGGUU
rnacentral:rRNA from 1 species